rnacentral:rRNA from 1 species
GAUGAACGCUGACAGAAUGCUUAACACAUGCAAGUCGAUGGGGAAGUGGUGCUUGCACCAUGGUAACCAUGGCGGACGGGUGAGUAACGCGUAAGGAACUUGCCUGCGGGACUGGGAUAACAGCAGGAAACUGCUGAUAAUACCGGAUAAGGUCAUUAAGCUGCAUAGCUUAGUGAUGAAAGGAGACGCCUGCGGAGAGCCUUGCGUCCUAUUAGCUAGUUGGAGGGGUAACGGCCCACCAAGGCGAAGAUAGGUAGCCGGCCUGAGAGGGUGGACGGCCACAAGGGGACUGAGAUACGGCCCUGACUCCUACGGGAGGCAGCAGUGGGGAAUAUUGGACAAUGGGGGCAACCCUGAUCCAGCAAUUCUGUGUGCACGAAGACGGUUUUCGGAUUGUAAAGUGCUUUCAGCAGGGAAGAAGGAAGUGACGGUACCUGCAGAAGAAGCGACGGCUAAAUACGUG